rnacentral:rRNA from 1 species
GACGAACGCUGGCGGCGUGCCUAAUACAUGCAAGUUGAGCGAUGAAGAUUGGUGCUUGCACCAAUUUGAAGAGCAGCGAACGGGUGAGUAACGCGUGGGGAAUCUGCCUUUGAGCGGGGGACAACAUUUGGAAACGAAUGCUAAUACCGCAUAAUAACUUUAAACAUAAGUUUUAAGUUUGAAAGAUGCAAUUGCAUCACUCAAAGAUGAUCCCGCGUUGUAUUAGCUAGUUGGUGAGGUAAAGGCUCACCAAGGCGAUGAUACAUAGCCGACCUGAGGGGGUGAUCGGCCACAUUGGGACUGAGACACGGCCCAAACUCCUACGGGAGGCAGCAGUAGGGAAUCUUCGGCAAUGGACGAAAGUCUGACCGAGCAACGCCGCGUGAGUGAAGAAGGUUUUCGGAUCGUAAAACUCUGUUGGUAGAGAAGAACGUUGGUGAGAGUGGAAAGCUCAUCAAGUGACGGUAACUACCCAGAAAGGGACGGCUAACUACGUG